GUGGCGCACGGGUGAGUAACGCGUGGGAACCUGCCCUGGAGUGGGGAACAACCUUUGGAAACGAAGGCUAAUACCGCAUACGCUCUACGGAGGAAAGGCUUCGGCCGCUCCAGGAUGGUCCCGCGUCUGAUUAGCUUGUUGGUGGGGUAACGGCCUACCAAGGCGACGAUCAGUAGCUGGUCUGAGAGGAUGAUCAGCCACACUGGGACUGAGACACGGCCCAGACUCCUACGG
rnacentral:rRNA from 1 species